GCAGUCAGGGGCGUGCGCCCGCUGGGUCAGCGCCCUCCUUCCUGCCGGGGAAGGGAAGUGCGUCGGUAGGGGAGGGCUCACCUCUCCAGGUUGAAACGAUGGCGGUCAGAACCGCCUGAGCUAAAUGCAAGAUGGUAUGGCAUCCAGACUCUGCUCAUAAGUAUCUGCAGUGAUCCAUACCUUGAUUGUACAUCUACUCUGCAUCCUGAGGACCUGAACAUGCUAACUGGUGGCUGCAGAUUUGUCUUCUAAGGAGCAAGUGUGGUCUGUGGACAGGCAGCUUCAGCCUCACCUGGGAUUUUGUUUGCACUAGAAAGUGCCAAGCCCUACCCUAGACCUAUUAAAGCAGAACUGGCGUUUAACAAGACACCCCAGAGUCACUGAAAACUAAGCUGUGUUUUCUUAAAACCCUGCAAACUGAAGCCAGACAACUUGAACUUCAGAAGAAAAUAACAGCAACCUAUUUACGUACAUAAGCCACUUUCAUACCUGCCUACUAAUGUAUGGACUUCAGAGUAAUGUGGCUUAUAUCGAUUUUUCUAGGAUUGUUCUUUUGUUUGUUGUUGUUUUUUCUCCCUUCCUCCCUGCUAUUUUCUCUUCACAGAAUGUGAGACUUCACAACCUACUAAAAAUGAGCUUUUGGGACUUACCCAUCUAGGAAUAAACCAUCAUAGCUAUGAGAAAUC
rnacentral:lncRNA from 1 species